GAUGAACGCUGGCGGCGUGCCUAAUACAUGCAAGUCGAGCGAACGUACGAGAAGCUUGCUUCUCUGAUGUUAUCGGCGGACGGGUGAGUAACACGUGGAUAACCUAACUAUAAGACUCGGAUAACUUCGGGAAACCUGCGCUAAUACCGGAUAAUUUUUUGAACCUCAUGGUUCAAAAGUGAAAGACGCUCUUGCUGUCACUUAUAGAUUGAUCCGAGCUGCAGUAGCUAGUUGGUAAGGUAACGGAUUAACAAGGCAACGAUGGAUAGCCGACCUGAGAGGGUGGACGGGCAGAUGGGAAGUGAGAAAGGGUACAGACAUCGAGGGGGAGCAGCAGUAGGAAAUCCUACGGGAUGGGGGAGUGCCUGACGGUGCGACGCGGGGUGAAGGAUGAAGGUCUUCGGACGGGAGAACGCUGUAAGUAGGGAGGAAGAUAUGUGUAAGUAACGGUGCACAUCUUGACGGUACCUAAUCAGAAAGCCACGGCUAACUACGUG
rnacentral:rRNA from 1 species